rnacentral:rRNA from 1 species
UACGUAUGGUGCAAGCGUUAUCCGGAUUUACUGGGUGUAAAGGGAGCGUAGACAGCUGUGUAAGUCUGAAGUGAAAGCCCGGGGCUCAACCCCGGGACUGCUUUGGAAACUAUGCAGCUAGAGUGUCGGAGAGGUAAGUGGAAUUCCCAGUGUAGCGGUGAAAUGCGUAGAUAUUGGGAGGAACACCAGUGGCGAAGGCGGCUUACUGGACGAUGACUGACGUUGAGGCUCGAAAGCGUGGGGAGCAAACAGG